UAUUUUUUCAAGGAUAUAGGGAGAGAUUUAAUGUAUAUCUGUACACAAUGAUUGAUUAAUCAUUGCUAACGAAAAAUAAUUCAUAGUGGAUUUUGGUUAUAAUUUAUAUUUUUACACAUGCAAUAUAUAUGCAUACAUACAUGGAAUUAAUCCAAUUACAAAGACUCGCCAUAGUUUGAUAAAAAAAUACAUAAUAGUACAUAAAUAAUCACAGAAAACAAUAACCAGAAAAUGUAAGUAAA